UUGAACGCUGGCGGCAUGCCUUACACAUGCAAGUCGAACGGUAACGCGGGGCAACCUGGCGACGAGUGGCGAACGGGUGAGUAAUAUAUCGGAACGUGCCCAGUAGUGGGGGAUAGCCCGGCGAAAGCCGGAUUAAUACCGCAUACGACCUACGGGUGAAAGGGGGGGAUCGCAAGACCUCUCGCUAUUGGAGCGGCCGAUAUCAGAUUAGCUAGUUGGUGGGGUAAAAGCUCACCAAAGGCGACGAUCUGUAGCUGGUCUUGACAGGACGACCAGCCACACUGGGACUGAGACACGGCCCCAGACUCCUACGGGAGGCAGCCAGUGGGUAUUUUUGGACAAUGGACGCAAGUUCUGAUUCCAGCCCAUGCCGCCGUGCGGGAAGAAGGCCUUUCGGGUUGUUAACCGCUUUUGUUCAGGGGAAGGAAAUCCUUUUGAAUUAAUACUUUCGGAAGAAAAGAACAAUACCUGAAGAAAUAAGCACCCGGCUUAACUACGUGCCAGCAGCCGCGGUAAUACGUUAGGGUGCAAAGCGUUUAAUCGGAAUUACUGGGCGUAAAGGCGUGCGCAGGCGGUUCUAUAAGACAAGAAUGUGAAAUCUCCCGGGCUUCAACCUGGGAACUGCGAUUUGUGUACUGUGAAAGAGUCUGGAGUGCGGCAGAGGGGGUAUGGAAUUCCGCGCUGUAGCACAGUGAAAUGCGUAGAUAUGCGGAGGAACACCGAUGGCGAAGGCAAUCCCCUGGGCCUGCUACUAGACGCUCAUGCACGAAAGCGUGGGGAGCAAACAGAAUUAGAUACCCUGGUAGUCCACGCCCUAAACGAUGUCCCACUGGUUGUUGGGAAGGUUCCUUCUCAGUAACGUAGCUAACGCGUGAAGUUGACCGCCUGGGGAGUACGACCGCAAGGUUGAAACUCAAAGGAAUUGACGGGGACCCGCGCAAGCGGUGGAUGAUGUGGUUUAAUUCGAUGCAACGCGAAAAACCUUACCUACCCUUGACAUGUCAAGAAUUUCGCAGAGAUGUGGAAGUGCUCGAAAGAGAACUUGAACACAGGUGCUGCAUGGCCGUCGUCAGCUCGUGUCGUGAGAUGUUGGGUUAAGU
rnacentral:rRNA from 1 species